CGAUUGAUGCCCGCUGUUUGCGAUAUACUGUGAGCGGCCAAGAGAAAUCGUUAAGCAUCCCACCUGGGGGAGUACGCCGGGCAAACGGUGAAACUCAAAGGAAAUUGACGGGGGCCCGCACAAGCGGAGGAAACAUGUGGUUUAAUUCGAUGAUACGCGAGGAACCUUUACCCGGGCUUGAACUGCCAGCGAACGAUUCAGAGAUGAUGAGGUCCUUCGGGACGCUGGUGGAGGUGCUGCAUGGUUGUCGUCAGCUCGUGCCGUGAGGUGUCGGCUUAAGUGCCAUAACGAGCGCAACCCUUUUCUUUAGUUGCCAUCAGGUAAUGCUGGGCACUCUGGAGAUACUGCCACCGUAAGGUGUGAGGAAGGUGGGGAUGACGUCAAAUCAGCACGGCCCUUACGUCCGGGGCUACACACGUGUUACAAUGGGGGGUACAGAGAGUCGGAUGUACGCAAGUACAUUCUAAUCCUAAAAGCCUUCCUCAGUUCGGAUUGGGGUCUGCAACCCGACCCCAUGAAGCUGGAUUCGCUAGUAAUCGCGCAUCAGCCAUGGCGCGGUGAAUACGUUCCCGGGCCUUGUACACACCGCCCGUCAAGCCAUGAAAGCCGGGGGCGCUUGAAGUCCGUGACCGCAAGGAUCGGCCUAGAGCGAAACUGGUAAUUGGGGCUAAGUCGUAACAAGGUAGCCGUA
rnacentral:rRNA from 1 species